rnacentral:rRNA from 1 species
GAUGAACGCUGGCGGCGUGCCUAAUACAUGCAAGUCGAGCGAACGGACGAGAAGCUUGCUUCUCUGAUGUUAGCGGCGGACGGGUGAGUAACACGUGGAUAACCUACUUAUAAGACUGGGAUAACUUCGGGAAACCGGAGCUAAUACCGGAUGAUAUUUUGAACCGCAUGGUUCAAAAGUGAAAGACGGUCUUGCUGUCACUUAUAGAUGGAUCCGCGCUGCAUUAGCUAGUUGGUAAGGUAACGGCUUACCAAGGCAACGAUGCAUAGCCGACCUGAGAGGGUGUUCGGCCACACUGGAACUAAGACACGGUCCAGACUCCUACGGGAGGCAGCAGUAGGGAAUCUUCCGCAAUGGGCGAAGGCCUGACGGAGCAACGCCGCGUGAGUGAUGAAGGUCUUCGGAUCGUAAGACUCUGUUAUUAGGGAAGAACAUAUGUGUAAGUAACUGUGCACAUCUUGACGGUACCUAAUCAGAAAGCCACGGCUAACUACGUG